rnacentral:rRNA from 1 species
UACAGAGGGGGCAAGCGUUGUUCGGAAUUACUGGGCGUAAAGGGCGCGUAGGCGGCCUGUUAAGUCGAACGUGAAAUCCCCGGGCUCAACCCGGGAACUGCGUCCGAUACUGGCAGGCUUGAAUCCGGGAGAGGGAUGUGGAAUUCCAGGGUGUAGCGGUGAAAUGCGUAGAUAUCAAGUGGAACACCAGUGGCGAAGGCGAGUCCCUGGACAACUCCUGACACUGAGGCACGAAAGCUAGGGGAGCAAACAGG